GGCCAGACUCCUACGGGAGGCAGCAGUGGGGAAUAUUGCACAAUGGGGGAAACCCUGAUGCAGCGACGCCGCGUGAGUGAGGAAGUAUUUCGGUAUGUAAAGCUCUAUCAGCAGGGAAGAAAAUGACGGUACCUGACUAAGAAGCCCCGGCUAACUACGUGCCAGCAGCCGCGGUAAUACGUAGGGGGCAAGCGUUAUCCGGAUUUACUGGGUGUAAAGGGAGCGUAGACGGCUAAUCAAGUCAGAAGUGAAAACCCAGGGCUCAACUUUGGGACUGCUUUUGAAACUGAGUAGCUAGAGUGCAGGAGAGGUAAGCGGAAUUCCUAGUGUAGCGGUGAAAUGCGUAGAUAUUAGGAGGAGCACCGGUGGCGAAGGCGG
rnacentral:rRNA from 1 species